UACGUAGGCAGCAAGCGUUGUUCGGAGUUACUGGGCGUAAAGAGUAUGUAGGCGGUUUGCCAAGUCCGGCGUGAAAUCUCCCGGCUCAACUGGGAGGGUGCGCCGGAUACUGGUAGGCUAGAGUGCGGGAGAGGAGAGCGGAAUUCCUGGUGUAGCGGUGAAAUGCGUAGAUAUCAGGAGGAACACCUGCGGUGUAGACGGCUCUCUGGACCGCCACUGACGCUGAGAUACGAAAGCGUGGGUAGCAAACAGG
rnacentral:rRNA from 1 species